ACCUGCGGAAGGAUCAUUGUCGUGACCCUGACCAAAACAAACCGUGAACCUGUCACCUAUGCUGCCGGUUGAUGGGCUUGCACCUAUCUCUCGGUCUAGGCCACCGACCUUCUUCAGAAGGGCGGGGUGCCAAAAGAACCCACGGCGCCGUAUGGCGUCAAGGAGAACUAAUGUUGCCUUGCUUGGGGCCUCGGCCGGCUUGCCGGAUGCACCCCUUGCAGCGAUGCUAUGGAAAAUCACAUGACUCUCGGCAACGGAUAUCUCGGCUCUUGCAUCGAUGAAGAACGUAGCAAAAUGCGAUACCUGGUGUGAAUUGCAGAAUCCCGUGAACCAUCGAGUUUUUGAACGCAAGUUGCGCCCGAGGCCUUGUGGCCGAGGGCACGUCUGCCUGGGCGUCACGCCAAAAGACACUCCACCGCAAUCCCGGUCUGGACGUGGUGUUUGGCCCCUCAUUCCAUAGUGUAUGGUGGGCCAAAGAGGCGGCUGCCGGCGGUGCCGGUCACAGCAGAUGGUGGAUGGCACAAGUUAUUCUCGGUGUUGUGAUCCUGACGUCAUGUUAUGCGCCCCUUUUGGACCCAUGGUUUGGAGCGUACGUAGCUCGGACCGCGACCCCAGGUCAGUCGGGACUACCCGCUGAAUUUAAGCAUAUCAAUAAGCGG
rnacentral:rRNA from 1 species